CAAGUGGUGGUCAAGGUAUUCCUGGGGACGUAGGCGAGGCGGGACCUAUGGGCUCCUUCGGUCCACGAGGCCCCGAUGGCCCACCAGGAAAACCUGGCCCAGAUGGAGAGCCUGGGUCAUCAGGAAACACAGGAG